rnacentral:tRNA from 1 species
GGAGAGGUCGCAUAGUUUGGCCGAGUGCGCGCGUCUCGAAAACGCGUAGGGUUUACCGCCCUCGAGGGUUCGAAUCCCUCCCUCUCCGCCU